UACGUAGGGUGCAAGCGUUGUCCGGAAUUAUUGGGCGUAAAGAGCUCGUAGGCGGUCUGUCGCGUCUGCUGUGAAAACUCAGGGCUUAACCCUGAGCUUGCAGUGGGUACGGGCAGACUAGAGUGCGGUAGGGGAGACUGGAAUUCCUGGUGUAGCGGUGAAAUGCGCAGAUAUCAGGAGGAACACCGGUGGCGAAGGCGGGUCUCUGGGCCGUAACUGACGCUGAGGAUCGAAAGCAUGGGGAGCGAACAGG
rnacentral:rRNA from 1 species